rnacentral:rRNA from 1 species
UAGGACGAACGCUGGCGGCGUGCCUAACACAUGCAAGUCGAGCGAGGAGAUUCCUUCGGGAUGAUCCUAGCGGCGGACGGGUGAGUAACACGUGGGCAACCUGCCUCAUAGAGAGGAAUAGCCUUCCGAAAGGGAGAUUAAUACCUCAUAACAUUGCAGUUUCGCAUGGAACAGCAAUUAAAGGAGUAAUCCGCUAUGAGAUGGGCCCGCGGCGCAUUAGCUAGUUGGUGAGGUAACGGCUCACCAAGGCGACGAUGCGUAGCCGACCUGAGAGGGUGAUCGGCCACAUUGGGACUGAGACACGGCCCGGACUCCUACGGGAGGCAGCAGUGGGGAAUAUUGCACAAUGGGGGAAACCCUGAUGCCAGCAACGCCGCGUGAGUGAUGACGGCCUUCGGGUUGUAAAGCUCUGUCUUCAGGGACGAUAAUGACGGUACCUGAGGAGGAAGCCACGGCUAACUACGUGCCAGCCGCGGC